GGCUAAUACCCCAUGUGCUCGAUGGUUCGAUCUGUCGAGUAAAGCUCUUUCGGGGGCGCUUUGGGAGGGGCCUGCGGCCCAUCAGGUAGUUGGUGGGGUAAUGGCCUACCAAGCCAAUGACGGGUAGGGGGCGUGAGAGCGUGAUCCCCCACACUGGCACUGCGACACGGGCCAGACUCCUGCGGGAGGCAGCAGUGAGGAAUAUUGCCCAAUGGACGAAAGUCUGAGGCAGCAACGCCGCGUGGGCGAUGAAGUCCUUCGGGUUGUAAAGCCCUUUUCUGGGGGACGAGAAAGGACGGUACCCCAGGAAUAAGUCACGGCUAACUACGUGCCAGCAGCCGCGGUAAUACGUAGGUGGCAAGCGUUAUCCGGAUUCACUGGGCGUAAAGCGCGUGCAGGCGGUUUCGUAAGUCGGACGUGAAAGCUCCUGGCUUAACUGGGAGAGGUCGUUCGAUACUGCGGGACUUGAGGUCGGGAGAGGGACGUGGAAUUCCCGGUGUAGUGGUGGAAUGCGUAGAUAUCGGGAGGAACACCAGUGGCGAAGGCGGCGUCCUGGCCCGCACCUGACGCUAAGACGCGAAAGCGUGGGGAGCGAACGGGAUUAGAUACCCCGGUAGUCCACGCUGUAAACGGUGGAUACUAGGUGUUGGUGACUAUCGUCAUCAGUGCCGUAGCUAACGCGUUAAGUAUCCCGCCUGGGGACUACGGCCGCAAGGCUAAAACUCAAAGGAAUUGACGGGGGCCCGCACAAGCAGCGGAGCGUGUGGUUAAUUCGAGGCGCACGAAGAACCUUACCUGGGUUGACAUGCACGUAGUAGUGAAGUGAAACUGAACGACCCUUC
rnacentral:rRNA from 1 species